AUUAGGCGGAGGCGAAGUGAAGAAAGCGGGGGCCAAAGUUGAAAAGUGGGCCCAAAUGAGACUUAGAAGUAGAAGAGCCUUUGGCUUAUGAGAUAAAGUGAAAAAAAAGGAAAAAAUCUUGACCGUGGCCUCCUUGUGACAGGAAGGGCGAUGUGAGUGACAGAAGACAGACAUAAAGGAGGCAAGCUAAUACGCAGUGUGAUCACUGGCCAGAUGAAUGAGAAAAACCAGUAAAAAGUGGAGACAUUUAGAGAUUGCCAGAAUGGUGGGAAAAACAGUUUGAGAGCGGCGCUCGCCCGUUCCGGGGCCAGGAAUAGGGAAGGGGAUGUGUGUGGGCUUGAGACAUAGAGCUGCUGCAAGAAAGGAAGCCUACAUUCAGGUAGAGAAAUCUGUGGGUAGAACAGGAAGAAAUAAGCUUGAAGAAGUAAAAGGAAAGACUUAGAUCCAAUGCAAGAAAGGACUUGGCAUGUGUGGGGGCUGGUGAGCCCAGAACAUCUCGCUUUGCCUUCUGGGACACUUGAUCCCUUCCCCACCCUCCCCCUGUCAGGGCAGUCCUGCCUGGAAGAGAUGGGGUGCAGAGUGACGGCUAAAGAAACAAGAAAUCAAUGGAAAAAAAUACCCUAGGGUGAGGAUUAAAAAAAAAAAAGAAAAGAAACAUCUUCAACCAUUUUCCUAAUUCAAACCACUGCGAAACCAUCAGAAAAUAGUGCGUAAGAGGGAUAAGUUCAGAAAUGUGGACGUCGGCCACCACCAGUAUCUACACAACUUUGAUGUGAACACUCAGGUCCUGCCUGAGAGCACCAGACGGAGCCACGUGCUGCAUCAGAGUGGCCCGGAGAUGACCAUGAAGUGACCAUGUUUGUGAAGCUCUAGCUGGAAGGACUGAGCCUGGCCUGAAAAUAGGGUACAUGGAAGGACCUCAGGUCUCCAUCCCCACCUCCUACCGCCUCCUCACCCCCCGACCAAGAAGGGAAAUUUAGAAGGAGGGGUUCAGGGAAAUAAAAAGAGGAAGGUCAUUCUAGAAUGGGAGUCACAUGGGAUGGAGCCUGGGAGCCAAAGUCUCCCGCGAACCCCAGUGCCAACAGUUACUAGCCUUGCAGAUUUCAACUGUUCUUGUGUUUGUGUUUCCUGUAACAGUGGUUACUGCAAACUUUACACAUUCGAUUCAAAAUCACACCGUCACCUGCAUCUCAAAAAUGAUGAAAGUCUUCACCAUCAUCCCUAGUCAAGAUCAAAGACAACAUUGUAUAGCACCUUUAAAAAAAAAAAAAAAGAUUUCAGUGUACUUAAACAGAUGGGCAGGUGAGAUCCAGAGCAGGAACUGAGCUUGUCCGAAUCUUAGAGUUGGGCAGCAGAAAGAUCUCUGUCAGGGCUGAAGAGCCAUCACCAUUCAUGACAGUGAAAUAAGAGGGACCAGUCCUCAUCGUUCUGAAACCCGCCAUCUCUCUAGAGCCAGCGCCUGCCUUCCUUCCCUGGGUUACUACUGUGCAAAGAAAGUUACCUGUAAGAAGGUACUGGGAUUUUCAGGGCUUGAAUACCAGUCAACCUUGUAGAUUGCAUCAAAGAGUAAUCUGGUUAACAAAGUAGUACUAAAAAUAUCGUAACAUUUGAGACAGACUCAAGUUAUUCAUGGUUUAUCUGAAAUUCUAAUUUAACUGGAUGUCUUGUAUUUUAUCUGGCAACGAUACCUGCAGGUAAAACCACCAGGAGAUUCAUCCUAACUCCUCUGGAGUUUCUUAGAUAAAGAUGCAAUA